AGCGAACGCUGGCGGCAGGCCUAAUACAUGCAAGUCGAGCGCGCCCUUCGGGGUGAGCGGCGGACGGGUGAGUAACGCGUGGGAAUAUGCCCUUCUCUAAGGAAUAGCCUCUGGAAACGGAGAGUAAUACCUUAUACGCCCUUUGGGGGAAAGAUUUAUCGGAGAAGGAUUAGCCCGCGUUAGAUUAGGUAGUUGGUGGGGUAAUGGCCUACCAAGCCUACGAUCUAUAGCUGGUUUGAGAGGAUGAUCAGCCACACUGGGACUGAGACACGGCCCAGACUCCUACGGGAGGCAGCAGUAGGGAAUCUUAGACAAUGGGGGCAACCCUGAUCUAGCCAUGCCGCGUGUGUGAUGAAGGCCCUAGGGUCGUAAAGCACUUUCGCCAGAGAUGAUAAUGACAGUAUCUGGUAAAGAAACCCCGGCUAACUCCGUGCCAGCAGCCGCGGUAAUACGGAGAGGGUUAGCGUUGUUCGGAAUUACUGGGCGUAAAGCGCACGUAGGCGGAUUAGUAAGUUAGAGGUGAAAUCCCAGGGCUCAACCCUGGAACUGCCUUUAAUACUGCUAGUCUUGAGUUCGAGAGAGGUAAGUGGAAUUCCGAGUGUAGAGGUGAAAUUCGUA
rnacentral:rRNA from 1 species